GGGACAGUGGCGAAACGGAUAACGCGCCUGACUACGAAUCAGGAGUUUCCAGGUUCAAAACCUGGCUGCCUCG